rnacentral:rRNA from 1 species
CCUACGGGAGGCAGCAGUCGAGAAUCAUUCACAAUGGGGGAAACCCUGAUGGUGCGACGCCGCGUGGGGGAAUGAAGGUCUUCGGAUUGUAAACCCCUGUCAUGUGGGAGCAAAUUAAAAAGAUAGUACCCCAAGAGGAAGAGACGGCUAACUCUGUGCCAGCAGCCGCGGUAAUACAGAGGUCUCAAGCGUUGUUCGGAAUCACUGGGCGUAAAGCGUGCGUAGGCUCUUUCGUAAGUCGUGUGUGAAAGGCGCGGGCUCAACCCGCGGACGGCACAUGAUACUGCGAGACUAGAGUAAUGGAGGGGGAACUGGAAUUCUCGGUGUAGCAGUGAAAUGCGUAGAUAUCGAGAGGAACACUCGUGGCGAAGGCGGGUUCCUGGACAGUAACUGACGCUGAGGCACGAAGGCCAGGGGAGCGAAAGGGAUUAGAUACCCUUGUAGUC